UAGUCCACGCUGUAAACGAUGUCGAUUUGGAGGUUGUGCCCUUGAGGCGUGGCUUCCGGAGCUAACGCGUUAAAUCGACCGCCUGGGGAGUACGGCCGCAAGGUUAAAACUCAAAUGAAUUGACGGGGGCCCGCACAAGCGGUGGAGCAUGUGGUUUAAUUCGAUGCAACGCGAAGAACCUUACCUACUCUUGACAUCCAGAGAACUUAGCAGAGAUGCUUUGGUGCCUUCGGGAACUCUGAGACAGGUGCUGCAUGGCUGUCGUCAGCUCGUGUUGUGAAAUGUUGGGUUAAGUCCCGCAACGAGCGCAACCCUUAUCCUUUGUUGCCAGCGGUUCGGCCGGGAACUCAAAGGAGACUGCCAGUGAUAAACUGGAGGAAGGUGGGGAUGACGUCAAGUCAUCAUGGCCCUUACGAGUAGGGCUACACACGUGCUACAAUGGCAUAUACAAAGAGGAGCGACCUCGCGAGAGCAAGCGGACCUCAUAAAGUAUGUCGUAGUCCGGAUUGGAGUCUGCAACUCGACUCCAUGAAGUCGGAAUCGCUAGUAAUCGUAGAUCAGAAUGCUACGGUGAAUACGUUCCCGGGCCUUGUACACACCGCCCGUCACACCAUGGGAGUGGGUUGCAAAAGAAGUAGGUAGCUUAACCUUCGGGAGGGCGCUUACCACUUUGUGAUUCAUGACUGGGGUG
rnacentral:rRNA from 1 species